rnacentral:rRNA from 1 species
GUAAGAGCUCGUAGGCGGUUUGUCGCGUCUGCCGUGAAAGUCCGGGGCUCAACUCCGGAUCUGCGGUGGGUACGGGCAGACUAGAGUGAUGUAGGGGAGACUGGAAUUCCUGGUGUAGCGGUGAAAUGCGCAGAUAUCAGGAGGAACACCGAUGGCGAAGGCAGGUCUCUGGGCAUUAACUGACGCUGAGGAGCGAAAGCAUGGGGAGCGAACAGGAUUAGAUACCCUGGUAGUCCAUGCCGUAAACGUUGGGCACUAGGUGUGGGGGACAUUCCACGUUUUCCGCGCCGUAGCUAACGCAUUAAGUGCCCCGCCUGGGGAGUACGGCCGCAAGGCUAAAACUCAAAGGAAUUGACGGGGGCCCGCACAAGCGGCGGAGCAUGCGGAUUAAUUCGAUGCAACGCGAAGAACCUUACCAAGGCUUGACAUGGGCCGGACCGGGCUGGAAACAGUCCUUCCCCUUUGGGGCCGGUUCACAGGUGGUGCAUGGUUGUCGUCAGCUCGUGUCGUGAGAUGUUGGGUUAAGUCCCGCAACGAGCGCAACCCUCGUUCCAUGUUGCCAGCGCGUAAUGGCGGGGACUCAUGGGAGACUGCCGGGGUCAACUCGGAGGAAGGUGGGGACGACGUCAAAUCAUCAUGCCCCUUAUGUCUUGGGCUUCACGCAUGCUACAAUGGCCGGUACAAAGGGUUGCGAUACUGUGAGGUGGAGCUAAUCCCAAAAAGCCGGUCUCAGUUCGGAUUGGGGUCUGCAACUCGACCCCAUGAAGUCGGAGUCGCUAGUAAUCGCAGAUCAGCAACGCUGCGGUGAAUACGUUCCCGGGCCUUGUACACACCGCCCGUCAGUCACGAAAGUUGGUAACACCCGAAGCCGGUGGCCUAACCCCUUGUGGGAGGGAGCUGUCGAAGUGGGACUGCGAUUGGGACGAAGUCGUAACAGGGUACC